AACGAACGCUGGCGGCAUGCCUAACACAUGCAAGUCGAACGAGACCUUCGGGUCUAGUGGCGCACGGGUGCGUAACGCGUGGGAACCUGCCCUUAGGUUCGGAAUAACUCCCCGAAAGGGGUGCUAAUACCGGAUAAUGUCUUCGGACCAAAGAUUUAUCGCCUUUGGGUGGGCCCGCGUUGGAUUAGCUAGUUGGUAGGGUAAAAGCCUACCAAGGCGACGAUCCAUAGCUGGUCUGAGAGGAUGAUCAGCCACACUGGGACUGAGACACGGCCCAGACUCCUACGGGGGGAAGCAGUGGGGAAUAUUGGACAGGGGGCGAAAGCCGGAUCCAGCAAUGCCCGGGAGGGGAUGAAGGCCUUGGGGUUGAAAAGCUCUUUUCCCGGGGAUGAUAAUGACGGAACCGGGGAAAAAAGCCCCGGCUAACUCCUG
rnacentral:rRNA from 1 species